CAGCGGGUUGAAAGCUUGCUUUCAAUGCCGGCGACCGGCGCACGGGUGCGUAACGCGUAUCAAACCUGCCUCAUACUCGGGGAUAGCCUUGCGAAAGUAAGAUUAAUACCCGAUGUUGUUGCUUUCUCGCAUGGGAGAGUAACCAAAGAUUUAUCGGUAUGAGAUGGUGAUGCGUCCGAUUAGGUAGUAGGCGGGGUAACGGCCCACCUAGCCUUCGAUCGGUAGGGGUUCUGAGAGGAAGGUCCCCCACACUGGAACUGAGACACGGUCCAGACUCCUACGGGAGGCAGCAGUGAGGAAUAUUGGUCAAUGGGCGAGAGCCUGAACCAGCCAAGUAGCGUGCAGGAUGACGGCCCUCCGGGUUGUAAACUGCUUUUAGUUGGGAAUAAAAAAAGGGACUUGUCCCUUCUUGUAUGUACCUUCAGAAAAAGGACCGGCUAAUUCCGUGCCAGCAGCCGCGGUAAUACGGAAGGUCCAGGCGUUAUCCGGAUUUAUUGGGUUUAAAGGGAGCGUAGGCGGAUUGUUAAGUCAGCGGUUAAAGGGUGUGGCUCAACCAUGCAUUGCCGUUGAAACUGGCGAUCUUGAGUGCAGACAGGGAUGCCGGAAUUCGUGGUGUAGCGGUGAAAUGCUUAGAUAUCACGAAGAACUCCGAUCGCGAAGGCAGGUGUCCGGGCUGCAACUGACGCUGAGGCUCGAAAGUGUGGGUAUCAAACAGGAUUAGAUANCCUGGUAGUCCACACCGUAAACGAUGUAUACUCGCGGUUUGCGAUAGAUUGUAAGCCGCC
rnacentral:rRNA from 1 species